CCUGCUCAGGACGAACGCUGGCGGCGUGCUUAACACAUGCAAGUCGAACGCUGAAGCUUGGUGCUUGCACUGGGUGGAUGAGUGGCGAACGGGUGAGUAAUACGUGAGUAACCUGCCCUUGACUCUGGGAUAAGCCUGGGAAACUGGGUCUAAUACUGGAUAUGACAUGUCACCGCAUGGUGGUGUGUGGAAAGGGUUUUACUGGUUUUGGAUGGGCUCACGGCCUAUCAGCUUGUUGGUGGGGUAAUGGCUCACCAAGGCGACGACGGGUAGCCGGCCUGAGAGGGUGACCGGCCACACUGGGACUGAGACACGGCCCAGACUCCUACGGGAGGCAGCAGUGGGGAAUAUUGCACAAUGGGCGGAAGCCUGAUGCAGCGACGCCGCGUGAGGGAUGACGGCCUUCGGGUUGUAAACCUCUUUCAGCACGGAAGAAGCGAAAGUGACGGUACGUGCAGAAGAAGCGCCGGCUAACUACGUGCCAGCAGCCGCGGUAAUACGUAGGGCGCAAGCGUUGUCCGGAAUUAUUGGGCGUAAAGAGCUCGUAGGCGGUUUGUCGCGUCUGCUGUGAAAGCCCGGGGCUUAACCCCGGGUGUGCAGUGGGUACGGGCAGACUUGAGUGCAGUAGGGGAGACUGGAAUUCCUGGUGUAGCGGUGAAAUGCGCAGAUAUCAGGAGGAACACCGAUGGCGAAGGCAGGUCUCUGGGCUGUUACUGACGCUGAGGAGCGAAAGCAUGGGGAGCGAACAGGAUUAGAUACCCUGGUAGUCCAUGCCGUAAACGUUGGGCACUAGGUGUGGGGAACAUUCCACGUUUCCGCGCCGUAGCUAACGCAUAA
rnacentral:rRNA from 1 species